CCGAAUAGAGACUUCCCUCUAUAUAGGAUUCAUGCAUGAGCAGGGGCAAACCCAAGAAAUUUUUUAUGCGGGGACAUAGUGUUGGUAAAUUUGGUCAAAAUACAAAAUAUUAAAAAAGAAAUGUCAAUGAAGGGAUUCGACCCAAGGUUUGUGGGUUCAUAGACUAGCUUUCAAGCCAAAUUAGCUAGUGUCGUUUAAUAACUACAGCUUGCAAAGUUCAAUUUAGUACAUUUUUUACAUAGUAAAAGAAACAACAUGAUUCAUAACACUUGAACAACCAAAACAUAGUUAAAAGGUUUGAGUAGAUCAUAUAUAAGCUGAGUUCAAUCGUUAUCUUCUAUUUCUUUGAUGGUUUUUCUGGUGGCAUAUUGGAUGGCUUGUGCAUUGAUGAUAGCUAUUAGCUUCUAUUUUCGUUUCUUAUCUUGUAUUCUGACAUAUCAUUUAAAAAAUUAUUUGUCUUAGGUUUUCGAAAGCAUAAGCUUAAAAUUCAUUUAUAUAUUUAUACAUACAUAAGAGAUCUUCUCCGGUUCGGAUACAGAAAAACAUGUAAUUUAGUCUUCGAAUGGCAUGCAGAUCAUAAAAACGCAGAUCAAACAGAAAACGAAGAUCAAGCAGAACAAAUGUAGAUCAAAUUUGUAUGACGUAUAUUAAGUUUUACGUUUUCUCCACGGUUAGAUGCCAUAUCUAUAAAUUUAAAAAUAAUAUUAGUUCAAUUAUAUGAACAUAGAUAUAAAAAACUGAUAAAACUAAUUAAACAUAAGAUUAAAAUAAUGCAUGUGUUAUAAUGCGUAUAAUAAUCAUUUUAAAAUAAUAAUUAAUUAUAAAAAUAUUUAAAUUUAUAAUUAUAUGCAAAUAAUACAUGCAAUAUAAAUAACAUGCAUAAAUUAAUUAAAUUAAUAUAUAUAUAUAUAUAUAAUUUAUAUAUAUAUAUAUUAUAUUUACAUAUAUUUAAAGAAUUAUAUGAAAGUUAUAUAAAUAGUACAAAUAACUAAUAUUUAAAUUCAUUAAAUCCGGAUAUCCAUAGGAAACGAAAAAAUCACAAAUAUUAAUAUUUUUAAGAAUGGAUAUCCGAUCCGUUAUAUGCAUAUAUAUACAUAUAUUUACAGAAUUAUAUAAAAGUUAUAUAAAUUUUAUAUUUUAUAUAAGUUUUACAAUAUUUUAUUUACUGAAUCAGUAAAUUAUUUAUUAGAAUUUUAAAAGUAAAUGUUUUUUUUCUUAUAAAAUAGUAUUAUUUUAUAUUAUUUUAUAAUAUUUUAUAAUAUUUUAUAAUAUUUUAUAUUAUUUAUAUUAUUUUUUCUUUUAAUUUAUUUUCUAAUAUAUUUUUAUUUUUUUGGAUCAAAGCGAAACAUAAUUGAUUAUUCGGACGAAACAAAUUGGAUCAUCCGGAUAUCCGAUAUGUGUUCACCCCUAUUUUGAAUAUGUAUAUUAUAUAUAUAUAAGUGUUUAUCAAAUUUAAUAAUAUUAUUUAUAUAUAUAAUACGUCAUUUUAAUUAUUUGUAUAAGAAAAUUCAUCUUAAAUUCUUUAUAAACAAAAAACUUACACUUAAAGAUGAAUUUUAAUUUGUUUUUUUCUUUUUUUUUAACUCGAAGAAUUUUAAUUUGUGAAGGAAAGAAAAAAGUAAUAUGAAAUAUUGAUAACUAAAGGAGAAAAAGUAGUUGUCAAAAAAAAAAAAAAAUCAAAGACAACACUUCAUUAGGCUCCUGUGUCCACUUAUUCCUAUUACCUGCAGAUUAGUUUUUUAUCACAUGAAUUUUCCUGUAUGCAGUUUUCUUAAUUUUUUAAUAUUAUAAUUUCUUCUGCAUUUUUAAUGUUGAUUGAAGACAAAAUGCAGAUCAAUCUGCAUAUUAAUUUUUCCUGCAUUUGUACUGCAUUUACUCUGCACUACAUUCAUACUCUGCACUAUUAAUUUAGAAAACAUGUAUUUAGGCCUGGGAUUUUUAUCCAUAACCGAAUACCCGAACCGGAACCGACCCGAAAUGAACCGGUUCGGUUCGGUUUCGGUCCUAGACAAUUUAUCCGAUGGAUAUUAGUGUUAAUUAUCCAUGGGUAUCGGUUCGGUUUCGGUUUUUACCCGAAACCGAACGGGUACCCGUUUAACCCGAAUUCUAUGUUUAAAAAACAUAGAUUUGUAUCUUCUGAGGGUCGAACCCGGGUUGGAUAGGCAAAGCAACAACUGUUAUACCACUAGACUAGUUCAACUUUGUUGUAUUUAAUACAUGUUACUAAUAUAUAUACGAUUUUUAUUUA